CCUACGGGAGGCAGCAGUGGGGAAUAUUGGACAAUGGGGGCAACCCUGAUCCAGCCAUGCCGCGUGUGUGAAGAAGGCCCUCGGGUUGUAAAGCACUUUCAGUGAGGAAGAACGCCUGGUGGUUAAUACCCAUCAGGAAAGACAUCACUCACAGAAGAAGCACCGGCUAACUCCGUGCCAGCAGCCGCGGUAAUACGGAGGGUGCGAGCGUUAAUCGGAAUUACUGUGCGUAAAGCGCGCGUAGGUGGCUUGAUAAGCCGGUUGUGAAAGCCCCGGGCUCAACCUGGGAACGGCAUCCGGAACUGUCAAGCUAGAGUGCAGGAGAGGAAGGUAGAAUUCCCGGUGUAGCGGUGAAAUGCGUAGAGAUCGGGAGGAAUACCAGUGGCGAAGGCGGCCUUCUGGACUGACACUGACACUGAGGUGCGAAAGCGUGGGUAGCAAACAGGAUUAGAUACCCGGGUAGUC
rnacentral:rRNA from 1 species